UGGGCUGUGGCUUAGUGAUAGAGCAUGUGUCUAGCACGCACAAAGCUCUGGGUUCAAUCCUCAGCACCAA
rnacentral:tRNA from 1 species